rnacentral:rRNA from 1 species
AACGAACGCUGGCGGCAGGCUUAACACAUGCAAGUCGAACGGUUGUAGCAAUACAGCAGUGGCAGACGGGUGAGUAACACGUGGGAACCUUCCUAGGGGUACGGAACAACUCAGGGAAACUUGAGCUAAUACCGUAUACGUCCGUGAGGAGAAAGAUUUAUCGCCCUUAGACGGGCCCGCGUGGAUUAGGUAGUUGGUGGGGUAAUGGCCUACCAAGCCUACGAUCCUUAGCUGAUCUGAGAGGAUGAUCAGCCACACUGGGACUGAGACACGGCCCAGACUCCUACGGGAGGCAGCAGUGGGGAAUCUUGGACAAUGGGCGCAAGCCUGAUCCAGCCAUGCCGCGUGAGUGAAGAAGGCCUCGGUUGUAAGU